UAACAGUAAUGCAACAAAAGAGGAGCAAAUUGUUACUUGUCCUUAUCUUUCCUAUUUUACCAAAAUCUUAGGUCUCCCCUCCCCCUCUUGAUAAGUGGCAAAUUUAUCACUCAUUGGCAUCCAAAUUCUUGUACUAUUUUGGCUAAGAUCAUAUAAAUGAGACUAAUUCUCCAUUUGAAUGCAAUAAUUUCUAGUUUUUGUGAUCUUACAGGACCUCUAUUGAAAAUAAAGGGAAAUCAAGUUGAAUGGGAAAGAAAAGAGGCAAAAAAAAGCAAAAGUUGGAGAUCAGGAGGCCCUCAAUUACUGCAAUUGCGAUCGCGGUCAAGCAAUCAGAGAUCAGAUGACCCUCAGUUAUCGGGAUCUCAACUCAAGAGUCGCGAUUGAGGUAGCGCGAUUGCGAUAGGACAGAAAAAGUUUAAGGGCAAAAUUGUAAUAUUUGACAUAUAUGGAAUUGGGGAUUAAAUAGGGGUUUUUAGCUAAUCUUUUAUCCAUCAUCAAUUUUUUAUCUUGGAAAAACUAUUAUACUACUCUUGAGCUAAGAAGACAUUAGAG
rnacentral:lncRNA from 1 species